UACGUAGGGGCCCAGCGUUGUCCGGAAUCAUUGGGCGUAAAGCGCGCGUAGGCGGCCGCGCAAGUCGGAUGUGAAAACCCGGGGCUCAACCCCGGGCGUGCAUUCGAUACUGCGCGGCUCGAGACAGGUAGGGGAGAUCGGAAUUCCUGGUGUAGCGGUGAAAUGCGCAGAUAUCAGGAGGAACACCGGUGGCGAAGGCGGAUCUCUGGGCCUGUUCUGACGCUGAGGCGCGAAAGCGUGGGGAGCGAACAGG
rnacentral:rRNA from 1 species